UUUGAUUUCCUCUUUGAUUUCUUCAGUUAUCUUUUGAUUAUUUAGUAACAUAUUGUUUACCCUCCAUGUGUUUGUGUUUACAGUUUUUUUCCCUGUAAUUUAUUUCUAAUCUCAUAGUGUUGUGGUCGGAAAAGAUGCUUGAUAUGAUAUCAAUUUUCUUAAAUUUACCGAGCCUUGAUUUGUGACCUAAGAUGUGAUCUAUCCUGGAGAAUGUUUUGUGUGCACUUGAGAAGAAAGUGUAAUAUGCUGUUUUUGGAUGGAAUGCCCUAUAACAACCCAAUCCAAAAAUGGGCAGAAGACCUAAAUAGACAUUUCUCCAAAGAAGAUAUACAGACUGCCAACAAACACGUGAAAGAAUGCUCAACAUCCCUAAUCAUUAGAGAAAUGCAAAUGAAAACUACAAUGAGGUAUCACCUCACACCUGUCAGAAUGGCCAUCAUCAAAAAAUCUACCAACAGUAAAUGCUGGAGAGGGUGUGGAGAAAAGGGAACCCUCUUGCACUGUUGGUGGGAAUGUAAAUUGAUGCAGCCAUUAUGGAGAACUGUAUGGAAGUUCCUUAAAAAACUAAAAAUAGAAUUACCAUAAUACUCAGCAAUCCCACUACUGGGCAAAUACCCAGAGAAAACCAUAAUUCAAAAAGACACAUGCACCCCAAUGUUCACUGCAGUGCUAUUUACAAUAGCCAGGUCAUGGAAGCAACCUAAAUGCCCAUAGACAGACGAAUGGAUAAAGAAGAUGUGGUACAUAUAUACAAUGGAAUAUUACUCAGCCAUAGAAAGGAACAAGAUUGGGUCAUUUGUAGAGAAGUGGAUGGAGCUAGAGAGAGACUGUCAUACAGAGUGAAGUAAGUCAGAAAGAGAAAAACAAAUAUCGUAUAUUAACGCACAUAUGUGGAACCUAGAAAAAUGGUACAGACGAAUCAGUCUGCAAGAAGAAAUAGAGACACAGAUGUAGAGAACAAAUGUAUGGACACCAAGUGGGGAAAGUGGUGGUGGUGGGGUGGUGGUGUGAUGAAUUGGGAGAUUGGGAUUGACAUAUACACACUAAUAUAUAUAAAAUGGAUAACUAAUAAGAACCUGCUGUUUAAAAAAAUGAAUAAAUUUAAAAUAAAUAAAUAAACAAAUAUCAAUUAAAUCUAUCUGGUCUAUUGUGUCAUUUAAAGCUUUUGUUUCCUUAUUAAUUUUCUGUUUGGAUGAUCUGUCUUUUGGUGUAAGUGAGGUUUUAAAGUCCCCCACUAUUACUGUGUUACUGUCGAUUUCCUCUUUCAUAGCUGUUAAUAUUUGCCUUAUGUACUGAGGUGCUCCUAUGUUGGCUGCAUAUAUAUUUAUAAUUGUUAUAUCUUCUUCUUGGAUUGAUCCCUUGAUCAUUAGGUAGUGUCCUUCCUUGUCUCUUGUAACAUUCUUUAUUUUAAAGUCUAUUUUAUGUGAUAGGAGUUGCUACUCCAGCUUUCUUUUGAUUUCAAUUUGCAUGGAAUAUCCUUUUCCAUACCCUCACUUUCAGUCUGUAUGUGUCCCUCGGUCUGAAGUGGGUCUCUUGUAGACAGCAUAUACAUGGAUCUUGUUUUUGCAUCCAUUCAGCGAGACUAUGUCUUUUGGUUGGAGCACUUAAUCCUUUCACGUUUAAGGUAAUUACCGAUAUGUAUGUUCCUAUUACCAUUUUCUUAAUUGUUUGGGCUUUGUUUUUGUAGCUCUUUUUCUCCUCUUGUGUUUCCCACUUAGAGAAGUUCCUUUUAGCAUUGUUGUAGAGCUGGUUUGAUGGUGCUGAACUCUCUUAGCUUUUGCUUGUCUGUAAAGGUUUGAUUUCUCCAUCAAAUCUGAAUGAGAUCUUUGCCAGCUACAGUAAUCUUGGUUGUAGGUUCUUCCCUUUCAUCACUUUAAAUGUAUCAUGCCACUCCCUUCUGGCUUGUAGUUUCUGCUGAGAAAUCAGCUGUUAACCUUAUGGGAGUUCCCUGGUAUGUUAUUCAUCAUUUUUCCCUUGUUGCUUUUAAUUAUUUUUCUUUGUCUUUAAUUUUUUUCAAUUUGAUUACUAUGUGUCUCGGCGUGUUUCUCCUUGGGUUUAUCCUGCCUGGGACUCUCUGUGCUUCCUGGACUUGGGUGGCUAUUUCCCUUCCCAUGUUAGGGAUGUUUUUGACUAUAAUCUCUUCAAAUAUUUUCUCAGGUCCUCUCUCUCUCUUCCUUCUGGGACCCCUAUAAUGCGAAUGUUGGUGCAUUUAAUGUUUCCCAGAGGUCUCUUGGGCUGUCUUCAUUUCUUUUCAUUCUUUUUUCUUUAUUCAGUGAAUUCCACCAUUCUGUCUUCCAGGUCUCUUAUCCGUUCUUCUGCCUCAGUUAUUCUGCUAUUGAUUCCUUCUAGUGUAUUUUUCAUUUCAGUUAUUGUAUUAUUCAUCUGUUUGUUUGUUCUUUUUUUAAAAAUUAAUUAAUUUAUUUGUUUUUAUUUUUGGCCGUGCUGGGUCUUCAUUCUGUGUGAGGGCUUUCUCUAGUUGCACUGAGCGGUGCACAGGCUUCUCGUUGUCGUGGCUUCUCUUGUUGCAGAGCACGGGCUCUAGGCACGCAGGCUUCAGGUGUUGUGGCUUGCGGGCUCUAGAACGCAGGCUUAGUAGUUGUGGCUCACGGGCUUAGUUGCUCAGCGGCAUGUGGGAUCUUCCCAGGCCGAGGAUCAAACCCGUGUCCCCUGCAUUGGCAGGUGGAUUCCCAACCACUGCUCCAGCAGGGAAGCCCUAUUUCUUUGUUCUUUAAUUCUUCUGGGUCUUUGUUAAACAUUUCUUGCAUCUUCUCGAUCUUUGCCUCCAUUCUUUUUCCAAGUCCUGGAUCAUCUUCACUAUCAUUAUUCUGAAUUCUUUUUCUGGACGGUUGCCUAUCUCCAAUCCAUUUAGUUGUUUUCAUGGGGUUUUAUCUUAUUCCUUAUCUGGUACAUAGUCAUCUGACUUUUCAUUUUGUCUAUCUUUCUGUGAAUGUGGUUUUCAUUCCACAGGCUCCAGGAUUGUAGUUCUUCUUCCUUCUGCUGUCUGCCUCUGGUGGAUGAGGUGAUCUAAGAGGCUUGUGCAAGCUUCCUGAUGGGAGGGACUGGUGGUGGGUAGAGCUGGGUGUUGCUCUGGUGAGCAGUGGGUGGGGCUGAGUUCCCUCCCUGUUGGCUGUUUGGCCUGAGGCGACCCAGCACUGGAGCCUAGAGGCCCUUUGGUGAGGCUAAUGGUGGACUCCAGGAGGGCUCAGGCCAAGGAGUACUUCCCAGAACUUCUGCUGCCCGUGUCCUUGUCCCUGUGGUGAGCCACGGCCACCCCCUGCCUCUGCAGGAGACCCUCCAACACUAGCAGACGGUGACCUGGCCCCAGAUGAUAUGCCCUGGCCACACCAUGCUGCUGCUGGAAUCAGAAGAUCUGUCAGCCAAAGACCAUGUUCCUUCCUGGUGGCUCUGACUGUGGCGAGGAGUCUGGUAUCGGGGUGUUUCUCAAUAGCCAAGGCUCACAGUGCCUGGAGAAGGGACACUGGAGCGGCCAGGCUUCAGGUUUCAGCAGUCACCACCAGGAUAAGCAUCCUCACCCUGGCUCUUGGACUCCCAUCUCUUCCCCCUGCAGGUUUCAGAUCAAGUCUCUCAUCGUGCUGAACACUUUCUGGUGAAAGAAACUUCCAGAACUCAUGACCAGCCUUUCUUUGGAACCUGCUGCCAUGCAUCUUCCAGCCUUCAGAGACAUGGGUGUCCUCUCCUGCCCAAUCCUUGGGGGCCUAGUUUAGAAGUGACUGCUCAAUGCUGCUAAAGAAAUUCCUCGAUCUGAGGUGGGGUGCAGGCAUCCUCUUCUCAUCUGAACACUAGUCCAAGCACAAGAGCUUCAAGGGCAGCCUCCAACCUCAUCCUGUGCCCCCGAAGUCCACACAAGGAAGGCCAAUGGCAACCUCAUAGCCGCAUAAAGCCUGAGCUUCAGACCAACCUCACCCUCGGGAUGAGUCUUCGUCUCCCUAGCCCGCUAGAAGACAACAGCAGAAAAAGUGGCAGCAGGGAGAGACUCACGCCAGACUCCAGCCUCCCCACCCUCAGCCUCCAGGGACAGCUGACUACAACAGCUGUUCCCUAAGGGGCGCCCUCUGUACUAUACCCUGCAGGAGAAGCUAGGCCUUCCUGUAUCCCACACAGAGCCAAAGACUAAGGGGAGAAUUCUAGAAGGGCCAGCAGCGCUGUUUGUCUGAGAGAGAGGGGUUCAAGGCCCAGCACCACCAAUGUUCCAUUUCUUCCCGAGUUCUCUGCCUGGAGACAAACGGCAGUGAGAACAGACCAAUAGGUAAGAAAGUCUAGAGAGGGAAUUCUGUUCCAAUAACCCAAGGGCUGCCCUUCUUCGCUGUGCCCCUGGGGAGAUGGAAGUGCCUGCCCUAUGAGUUUUGCUGAGCACACCACACCAGCACUGAAAACUAGGAUCUGUUAUGAGGGAAAGUGAGUGGAGGGAACUACCCACUUUUGCAUGAGGAAGGAUGCAGUGGGGAAGCCAUCCUAUAAGGAAGGGCCUUUAUAAGAUAAUGUGUUCUUUGAUCUCACCCUAAGUGACUCUAUCCCCUGCUCCCACCAACACUACAGCUCCAGCAGCUCUGAAGGGCCUUCCAACUCACCCCCUCUACUUGGUCUGAGCUGCCCCACAUGCAGAAGUCACCCCAAUGCUUGAUCUUUUGCUUUCUGAUCCCGUGACAGUCAACUUGACCUAUACAGUGCUUCUAGGGGUACUCAGAACACACAAGGACAACACAGGAGAGUCUGUGUGUCAGCUCCCAACGAUGGUCUAAAUGAUCCUACUUUCUCAAAAGCCUGCUGCCCCAUGGGAAUCAAUACUCUCCAAGGCCCUCUACUUACCAUGGGAACACAGCCCCCUGCAAACCUCUCGCCCCGCUCUUGAUCAGGACCUGCCCGCUGGCCCUGACGUGCUACCGUGUCUCCCCAUGUGGGCACUGUAUGAGGAGGAUCCCUUCACAGGCUCUGACAAUGCUCUGUCUUCAAAGCAGUAAAUAACCCUUAAAUCCAGUGGUAAGAGAACCUCACCUGGCCUCGCUCACCUCUCCGAGUCGAAACGGAACUGACAGAGGAAAAAGCUUACGUACUUCAGCAACGGGCUCACUCUUCUUCCCCAGACCAUUAAGUUCACAAUGUACCUUCAAUGUCCACUUACCUUCAAUUCGAAUAACAACAGGAAGGCCAAAUAGUCAAUGCCAUUCUGGGCUUGAAUUUUAAGAGGAAGAGACAAAUGAAAAGCCAUUAGGUUACCAGGGGUUUACCCCCAAAAGCAACUUCCAGAGAGACUGCAGGGUGUUUCCAUACAUGGUCUGGCCUCCUGUACUUUCUCCACAUGCCUUUUUGUGGCGAAGGAAUCCUCUGAACGGAGCCUGUUCCACUAGAGGCCUCCACCCUAAGCCAAAGCAGGUCAUCCACAGGACAUCUGGGAUGCUCAGGGAAUGUUCCCUACCUUCUAAGGGUGACAUGGUACCUUCUCAAGGAGCAUCUCUUCAUGCCGCCAACGGUGAGUGACAUAUAUCAGUCCCCGUGGGUCAACAAUCACACCCAGUACCAUUCUCCUUAUGUACUUACUUGGAGUAUCAAGUUCCUGAUUCUGGACUAAGCCCUUUAUAAGUUCUUCAAAACUAUAAGUUCCUAGAGGACAGGAACCAAGUCUCCAUUUCCACCUCCCAAUCCCUCAGCACAGAUGCAGGCAGCCAGAGCAGACCCAUGAGAGGCUACCGCGAGCGAAGCAGCCACCAAGCACCCCAAGACAAAGGGAUACUUGACACUGAAAUCCAGCCCUGAGACUGCCUGGAUUCAGAGAGAAGGUCUGGUACCCCCAGGGAGAAAAAGAAAAUAAUAGUUCUAAUAUUGGCUAGGAAAUGGGUCACGUUCAUUUUCUCAAGGCAUAAAUAAGGGAAAUUAUCCUUUUACCCACUUUUUUUAAAUGUUGAGCUUAGACAGUCAUUUGACAAGCUGCGAAUGCUUAGCUGAUAUUACUGCAAAUUAUCCUUCUAGCAAUAGAGUUCGUUGCUCUCUGACUAGUCAAUAUUAAUAAACAUUACCGAAUGCUUUUACAACACAAUUUAUUUUUUAAUACAGCUCUUUAUGUAUGUCAUAAAGUAAAUAUACCAAUAAAAGGCAAGGAUUUCAAACAACAGAUUAAAAAAGGCAACCAAGAACUAACAGAGUGCUAGUUAACACCUUCCGUGCUGCUGAAUGGGGGGCAGGCCUGCACCGAGUGUCCCUCUGCUGGGAAUUCAGGCCUGUGGGCCAUGGAAGAUGGUGGCCAUUUGGUUGUUUCAGAGCCUUUUAAAGGGAAGAGAGAGAAUACCAAAGGAGGCAUGUUUUCUCAAGAAUGUAGAUGAGAAGUGUGGUAUACUGACUGACCGAAACACUAGACUAGUGGUGGGGGGCUCAGUGUUCACCCCAGCUCUGCCAGGAACCAUCCAGGUGACCUUGGUCAAACCACUUACCCUCUCUAGAUUUCACCCUGCAGCUUUGCAACAAUGCAAGAAUUGAGUUAGAUGAUUUCCUAGGUCCGUUCCAAUCAUGUUUAUGACACCGAAAGGCUGUGGGGUUGACAGGGGCCUGUGCUAGGCAGACUAUACCCUCCUUCGUGAAGAAUCCAUGCCAGAUCCAUCCCCUCAACCUCUGUUAUUGAACCCAGAACACAGGAGGGACUCAGUGCAUCUUUGUUGAAUGAAUGAACAAACAAACAUGAAAGGGGAUUCAAGGAGAGAAAAUGCAGAGGCUGAAAACUCCCCCACUGCCUCUACACACACACACACACACACACCCCACACACACACCCCAGUACGAGAACAGCUGUCCCUACAGAUGGCCAACAGGCACAUGGAAAGAUGCUCAGCAUCGCUAAUUAUUAGAGAAAUGCAAAUCAAACCUACAGUGAGGUACUACCUCACACUGGUUAGAAUGACCAUCAUUAAAAAGUCUACAAAUAACAGAUGCUGGAGAGGGUGUGGAGAAAAGGGAACCCUCCUACACUGUUAGUGGGAAUGUCAAUUGGUGCAGCCAUUAUGGAACAAUAUGCAGGUUCCUCAGAAAACUAAAAAUAGAAUUACCAUAUGAUCCAGCAAUCCCACUCCUGGGCAUCUAUCCAGAGAAAACCAUAAUUUGAAAAGAUACAUGCACCCCAAUGUUUUAUAGCAGCACUAGUCACAAUAUCCAAGAUAUGAAAACAACCUAAAUGUCCAUCAACAGAUGAAUGGAUAAAGAAGAUGUGGUGUGUGCGUGUGUCUGUGUGUGUGUGUGUAUACACACACACACAGACACACACACACAAUGGUAUACUACUCAGACAUAAAAAAGAAUGAAAUAAUGCCAUUUGCAGCAACAUGGAUGGACUUGGAGAUCAUCAUACUAAGUGAAGUAAGUCAGAAAGAGAAAAACAAAUACCACAUGAUAUCACUUACAUGUGGAAUCUAAAAUAUGACACAAAUGAACUUAUCUACAAAACAGAAACAGAUUUACAGACAUAGAGAACAGACUUGUGGUUGCCAAGGGCAAGGGGGGUUGGGGGGUAAGGAUUGGGAGUUUGGGAUUAGCGGAUGCAAACUAGUAUAUAUAGCAUGGAUAAACAACAAGGUCCUACUGUAUAGCACAGGGAAGUAUAUUCAAUAGCCUGUGAUACAUCAUAAUGGAAAAGAAUAUGCAAAAGAAUGUAUAUAUAUGUAUAACUGAGUCACUUUGCUGUAUGGGAGAAAUUAACACAACAUUGUCAAUCAACCAUACUUCGAUAAAAUAAAUUUAAAAAGAACAGUUGUCCCUAUUGUCCAAAAGAGAAGACCUCCUUGGGGUUCUUAGAAAAAAAGCGGUGCGUUCUGCCUUGCUCUGGGAUGGAGGCCAACCUGGAGCUGACUGAAGGGUGGUAGGGGCUGUCCUGAGCCUUGAAAAUAUGAGGAAGGACAAUGUCAUUCCCCGCGGCCAUAACCACACCAAGUACAGUGCUUUCAGAUAAGGCUGCCCGAGAGUGUUAAAAUACAACGUCAAAAAUGACAAAGGGCCAUGCUAAUCUCCCCGCAGCAACUGCUCAGAGAAGGAUCUCCGUGGCUGCCCAGUACCAGGAGGCCUGGGCUUCGGGCUCUUAUGUCACCGGCCCUUUGUUUUAAAAUACCCAGUUCUCCUGAGUCAUUUAUUUGAAAUAUCUCUAACAACAAAUUUCACCAAGAACAAAAGUUUUUCAUUUGUGCACCAGGCUACAGGACGAUCUUAUCACACACAAUCUCAUACUGUCUCUUUCAACAAGGUCUUAGCGUGCUUAUCUGCGAAGUUCCUGGUAGCCAAAUAUGAUUGAAAUGUUCUAUUUAUGCUCACUGGAUUAAGGAGAUGUUGCAAAACUGCACAAAAACCUGGCAGAUGUAAGCAAGGUAUUACAGCCCGGGCAGUUAAGAUCUGAGGCAAAGAGAUCAAUACACACUUUUGUAGUUUCUUUCUUCUUCUUCUUUUUUUUUUUUUUUAAAGAAACCAGAAAAGUUGUGCUUUUAGAAAAGGGAAGAGGAAAAGGAGUAAAAUGCCUUAAGAUUUAUAGCUUCUCAGAGCUUUUUCCAAACCCCAAACAGGGCACCAUGAUGCAUGCUUGAUGAUGUCAGCCCAAGGGAAACAAAAAUAAAUCCAAAAUAUUCUCUCCAGAUCCUAAAAGGCCCUAUAAGGGAAUUGAACUAUGGUUAUGGAGGAACAGCAUUUUUGCUCUCUCUCUCCCAUAUGAGGCUUUCAACCAGCACAGAUAGCCCAUUUCUGGGAAAACCCUUUCAAAAAGCUAUAGAUUCCUCCUUAAUCUUCCUGUUUUGCCUGGGGGUGGGCAGGAAACAUCGUCUCCUAGUUAUCUAGGCUCAUUUUGACAUGUUCUCACUUUAGCCAGGCAGCCAAAACGCUACCUUCAAAUUCCACAGACCAGCCUCGGAUCCUCAGAGACUACUGAAAAUAACUGA